UAUCAUCAAUUUUCACCUGAAUGAUGGAAUCUAGUGGCGCUGAGUGUUUGUUAAAGAGACAAUAAGUGCGGGAGUGAAAAAUUAUUCCACAUAGUCCGGUGUUAUAGUUUUCAAGAUGGAGUAAACGUUAAUUUUCGUAAACGUGUUAUCGAUUCGGUUAAUUUUAUAAUUUCUUAAAGAUUACACUCAUCUGUGAAAUUUCACACUCUACGAAAAACAGAUAACAGUGACAGUGCAUAGAUCACCUGACAGUGGACCCCUGAAAGUGUUACUUGCGAAGGAAACUUAUGAAGGGCCUCGCUAUCGCACCGAAAACCAUCUCAUCCGAAAUCAGGCAUAUUUGGGACAUUGAUUGGAAGCAGUAAACGAGUUGCUAAUUGAGAAUGCGCAAUGACACAGAGAAUUUACCAGUGGUCUUCGAACCCUCGCGAGGGACAGCACCAGGACUUGCAAAUGGAACCCCUCAAAUUAAACUCACGCCGCCAGGAAAAAAUCCCCUCGAGGUACACGCAGGUCGACAAGGAGAAGGAUAAUCAGGAGACUGAGUACAUGCUGCAAGAAAAUGGCGAACCAAUUGAAUUUGUUCCUCCACAGAAGAAAGAGGAGGAAAAGCCAGCUCCUCAGCCAAGUCUACCACCAGUACCUUAUUAUAGGCUUUUCCGAUUCGCGACAUGCAGUGAGCUGAUGCUAGUGUUCGGUGGACUCUUUAUGGGCACCCUAACGGGACUCUGUAUUCCCGUCUCCACCAUACAAUACGGCGAGUUCACGACCCUACUUGUCGAUCGUAAUAUGGAAAAUCAAACCAGCACACCAACCUUGAUCCUGGAGUGGUUCGGCGGUGGAAAAGUUUUAGGUCCUAAUGCUACUCGCGAUGAACGUAUGGACGCUUUAUACGAUGAUUCCAAGGCAUUCGGUGUCUCCUGUGCCGCACUAUCAGCCUUACAGUUCUUUUUUGCCAUAUUCACCGUAGACCUUCUUAACGUAGCUGCGUUCAGACAGAUUGCUAGAGUACGCAGGAUGUUCUUACAAGCGGUGCUCAGGCAAGACAUGGCAUGGUACGACACUAACACUUCAACGAACUUUGCCAGCAGGAUAACAGAAGAUCUUGACAAGAUGAAAGACGGGAUUGGCGAGAAACUUGGUAUCUUUACAUACUUGAUGGUCUCCUUCAUCUCCUCAAUAAUCAUCUCUUUCAUUUACGGUUGGAAACUGACACUGGUGGUCCUUAGUUGUGCACCGAUAAUUGUUAUAGCAACGGCGAUCGUAGCUAAGGUUCAGAGUUCGUUGACGGCUCAGGAGUUGGCUGCUUAUGGGCAGGCGGGUAACGUAGCUGAAGAGGUGCUUGGGGCGAUAAGAACGGUCGUGGCCUUCGGUGGUGAAAAAAAGGAAGUAAGUCGCUACGCGGAGAAGUUGGUUCCAGCUGACAGAACGGGUACGCGACGUGGAAUGUGGUCCGGAGUAGGUGGAGGUGUCAUGUGGUUCAUCAUCUACUUGAGCUAUGCUUUAGCUUUCUGGUAUGGCGUUCAAUUGAUUUUGGAAGAUCGACCGAAUGAAAAAAAGGACUACACACCGGCCGUACUCGUCAUCGUAUUUUUCGGCGUGUUAGCCGGUGCUCAAAAUAUGGGACUAACUUCACCUCAUCUCGAAGCAUUCGCCGUGGCCAGAGGAUCGGCUGCUGCCGUAUUUACAGUCUUAGACCGUGUGCCGAUUAUCGAUAGCUUAAGUCCCAACGGUCAGAAGCUGAAGGGUGUCAAUGGCGAUAUAGAAUUCAAGGACGUGCACUUCAAGUAUCCUGCGAGGAAAGAUGUGAAAGUACUCCAGGGCUUAAAUUUGAAAAUUAAUCACGGUGAAACAGUCGCGUUAGUUGGAGGUUCUGGAUGCGGCAAGUCAACGUGCCUUCAGCUGAUUCAAAGGCUGUAUGAUCCUCACCAGGGUGAGGUGCAUCUCGACGGGGUUGACAUCUCAAAGUUGAACGUACAGUGGCUCCGCUCACAUAUUGGUGUUGUAGGUCAAGAGCCGGUGUUAUUUGACACUACUAUUCGCGAGAACAUACGCUAUGGAAACGAAAACGUAACUGAAGAGGAAAUGAUAAAGGCAGCAAAAGAAGCGAACGCACACGAUUUUAUCAGCAAACUUCCAGAGGGUUAUGACAGUCCAGUUGGCGAAAGAGGCUCGCAGCUAUCAGGUGGUCAAAAACAAAGAAUAGCUAUUGCUCGUGCUUUGGUACGUAGACCAGCUAUUUUAUUACUAGACGAGGCUACGUCAGCACUGGAUCUCCAUAGUGAGGCCACAGUUCAGAGAGCCUUAGACGCUGCAGCAAAGGGUAGAACAACAGUAAUAGUGACACACAGGCUGUCGACCAUCACAAAUGCCGAUAGGAUCGUUUUUAUCAAAGACGGAAAGGUUGCCGAAAUGGGAACUCAUGAGGAGUUGAUUGCACUUGGAAAUCACUAUCAUGCUCUGGUCUCUGCGGACUCCAACGCGGCAGCCAAAGCUAAAGCAACUGCUGCUGCUGCAAAAACUGUUACCGCAGCCAAACCAAAGCCCAAACCACCGCUCAAGAAGCAAUUUUCUACCCUUUCGAUGCACUCUCAUCGUCUUUCGUUAGCUGCUGCUUCUGAGAGCUCCGAAGAAGAACUCGAAGAACAUGAGAAACCUUAUGAAGCUCCAGUAAUGCGAAUCUUUGGUUUGAACAAACCCGAAUGGCCGUUCAAUAUAGUCGGCUGUCUCGCCGCUGCUACAGUAGGAGCAUCUUUUCCAGCGUUUGCGGUUCUCUUCGGUGAAGUCUACUACGUUUUGGGAUUACAGGAUCCACAAGAAGUUCGCAACGAAACAAUCAAUUUUUCCAUACUCUUCAUUAUCGUCGGUGUCAUAACAGGCAUAGGCACAUUUCUGCAAAUGUACAUGUUUGGUCUAGCUGGAGUUCGAAUGACAACAAGAAUCCGAAAGAUAACCUUCGAAGCGAUGUUGAAGCAAGAAAUGGGAUGGUUUGACGAAGACAAAAACAGCGUUGGUGCAUUAUGCGCCAGAUUGUCAUCAGAUGCAGGUGCGGUGCAAGGUGCGACUGGGACUCGAAUCGGUGCAAUUCUCCAAGCACUUUCAACUCUCGUCCUCGGUAUCGGUGUGUCGAUGUAUUACACUUGGAAAAUGACUCUGGUUUCUGUGGUGUCUAUUCCAUUGGUACUGGGCGCAGUUUUCUUCGAGGCGAGAAUCAUGAGUGGCCAGGGGUUACAGGAGAAGAAAAAGAUGGAAGGAGCAACACGAAUUGCUGUUGAAGCAAUCGGUAAUAUCCGCACCGUUGCAAGUCUGGGAAAAGAGAAGGCCUUCUUGGAUCGCUAUUGUGUAGAAUUAGCGCACGUCGCCAAAGCUACGAGAAUACGUAACCGACUUAGGGGUCUAGUAUUUUCCUGCGGUCAAACUACACCCUACUUUGGCUAUGCACUUAGUUUAUAUUAUGGCGGGUACCUAGUGGCCAGAGAAAAUCUCGAUUAUCAGAAUGUAAUCAAGGUAUCCGAAGCAUUGAUCUUUGGCUCUUGGAUGUUGGGACAAGCACUUGCCUUCGCCCCUAACUUCAAUACCGCUAAAAUUUCCGCUGGACGCAUAUUCAGAUUACUCGAUCGCGUACCCGAAAUCACGACGCCUGCGGAUCUCGAAGGGAAGGACACUGAUUGGAAAGCAGACGGUCUGAUUCAAUUCUCUAAAGUUGAAUUUCAUUAUCCAACUCGUACGGAGUCUCAGAUUCUGCGAGGUCUCAAUCUCGUUGUCAAACCAGGUCAAAUGGUUGCGCUAGUUGGUCAAAGUGGUUGCGGAAAAUCAACUUGCAUUCAACUGCUUCAACGCUUGUACGAUCCACUGUCGGGAACUGUGACAAUGGACCGCCGUGAUAUAUCAUCAGUCUCUUUAUCAGCCCUGCGAUCUCAGCUUGGUGUUGUAGGUCAGGAACCAGUACUCUUUGACAGAACUAUUGCUGAAAAUAUAGCGUAUGGUGAUAACAGUCGCACACCAUCCAUGGAUGAGGUCAUUGAAGCGGCAAAAAAGUCGAACAUUCAUAGCUUUGUCAGCUCUUUACCGUUGGGUUACGAGACUAGACUUGGAACCAAGGGAACUCAGCUUUCCGGAGGUCAGAAACAAAGAAUAGCUAUUGCCCGUGCCCUCGUAAGGAACCCUAGAAUUCUACUCCUGGACGAAGCCACGUCUGCACUCGACACCCAAAGUGAAAAGAUUGUACAAGCUGCUCUGGACAAAGCAAUGGAAGGCCGGACAUGCAUCACCAUCGCUCAUCGACUCGCUACUAUUCAAAAUGCAGACGUAAUUUGCGUUUUGGAAAAGGGAACUGUUGCUGAAAUGGGAACCCACGAAGAUCUGAUCGCGGCAGAUGGCCUUUACGCCCACUUACACGCUCUUCAAGAAGCCGCGCUAGAGUAGAACUUGUGACUUUUGCCUUAAAUCUCAACCCUCGACCCUUCACCUUCAACCGUCAACCUUGCGCCUUCUCUCUAUUCCGCAAACGUUCAUCGCACAUACAUAUUUCUGCAGUACAAUAAUCGGCUGAAACGCUUUGUACAAUGGCAGAAUAACAAAUAUAAAGUAAGCGCCCAGAAAGAAGAAGUGCCGAGCCGAAGCAAUUGGGAUAUUACGCACUUCAACCGUUCUGGGGUUUGGCAACCUUUCAAACUUAAAGGCACAAUUCUGAAUUGAAUAAUAUAAAUUGAUUUUUCGUUUGAUUAUAUCAUAGUAAUAUUAUUCAACGAUAAAUAUACAACUAGUAUAGCUGUGAGAGUUAUAGAUACAGAUUCCUAUUACCGACACACUUACCAACAUUUGACCCAGAUUCAAACCCUUCUAUGCGAUGACGUCACCGCGGGGAAGGGUUCGAGUCUGGGUAAGAUGUCGGUAAUUGUGUCGGUAGGAGGAAUCUGUGUCCAGACCUCUCAGAUAUACUACUUAUGGAUGUAAUGUGUGUAAUUACUAGGCUAUUAUUUUUAUAUCCGUAAAAGUUGAAUCACGUCAUGUUUGUCCAUGGGUUCGGCACAUAAAACAUUGUUUCACUAACACCUACCAAGUCCUAAUUGAUUUAGAUUGAAUUUCACUGUCUGUACUUAUGAGAGAGGAAGAUCUUUUCACAUAUUUUAUUAUUGUCGAGAUCUUCGGACAAACUCAUUGAUUAUGAGUUAUUUAUAAACCGACAUAUGUACUUAUACUUGUGUGUAGACGUACUGCUCAAGUUGCUUGUAUUCAAGACUGUUUCUUGAGAGAAGGAUUUAUUCGAAUGAAAAAUAUGACAAAAGCUUUGAGAAUCUUUUGUCAAAACAUUUUUUACUAAAGAGUUGAAGGAGUAGAAUAUGCUUAUUUCUAAAUUGUCAGGGAUGAGAAAUGGUUAUUUGUAAAUUCUAAUUUCAUUCUACAAUUAGUUCACAAUUUCUGUAGAAUUGCGGCACUUGAUUAUUACACAACUAGGCUUUCCGAGAAAAAUUUAAGCCUUUACCUAAUCAAGCUAUGUAAAAUACGUAUUAUUUAUGCCAGUGAAAACUGUUGCCAUUUAAUCACUUUUUUCUCAAACCAUUACGCAAAGAAUAGGUGUAUAAGUAGAAAUAAAAAAUGUGACCAAAAAUUAUAAUAAAAUUUUAGAGUGACGGCUGGUUGUGACGGCUGUGGCACGGAUUCGUGUCGGAUGAAUGACUUGAGUAUUUUCGAAUUGGCUCUUUUUGAUGAAAUAAUAUUUCAUAAGAUAGUUAACAAUAAGACUUGCUCAGAAGAGUACGAAAGUUUGUUUUAUGAAAAUCUGUUACACUUGGCAACAGAUUAUACAUCACUGGAGUGUGGCUCACCCUUUUUUUGCCAUCAUGGUUUCCACUUACUUUCCUAUUUCUUAUCAUCAUGUAGUUGGUUUGUGGUUCGCGCAAUCAGCACAAGUGCCUUUUCCUCGAUCCUACUGUAGUGUGAAGCCUUAAGAAAAGAGUAACGAUAAUCAGUAAGAAAUUUCGAUACUUUAUGCUAGUUGAAAAUCUUUGUAAAUUUACGGUAGGGUUGAAGUGUGUGACCAGGAGUACCUACAGGUUAAUUGAUUUAUCAUAUGAAGUGGGUGAUGUUAAUCAAUCAGUAGAGUGAAAAGCUUUUCAAGCCAGUUCUUAAUACGAUCUUUCCAUUCGAUACGCAGUACUUAAGAAUGAAUCAAUUCGAAAAACGUAUACCGCAGUGCUUUAUUGAAACGACAAUACGUAAUCAAGAUUAAGAUAUAUAUGACUGUAGUAGCAGUGAGGGCUAAAAAGCGGUGCUUGUUAUCGCUAAUGACUAAAUGAUACUUAAGAAUACUUGUGUAAAAUAUGCAAAGUAUAUUGUGAAAUGUAGAAGAAAAAUGAAUAAAUAACGAAGGCAAUUCGAGAUCGAAUUGCUCUCUGUAAAAUUAACCCUAGUCGCUUACGCGGGUCCAACUGACUCCAGAACCGACUUUAACGUACAAUUUUAAAUUCAGCGUGAUUGAAUCAUGUUUGUUUGUGCAGGUAAAAUGAAGAAUGAUGGAAAAAUAUUUCGGACCUUAGAGACCCCAUGUAUGUAUUGCAUAUUGUUUUACUUUUUUUGCUUUAAGAAUUUUUUCCCAUAUCCUCCAUCGUCUUUUGCUAAAACUAAGAUUGAAGUCUGUUUCUGAAUUGUUAAAUUUUGUCUCAAAAUUUUGUUCAAGUCGUAACGUAAUGUUGUGUACAGUGAUAACGUUCCAAGGUUGGCUGGGAUCUAGGUGACCCAUGUAAGUAACGUGAAAGUUUCCGUAGGUGUAUGUGACUAGGGUUAAGUAAUCUUCAUCGUUCGGGAAAAUUCAGUGAGUACGUAAGAAUGAAAGAAACCGUUUACCGUUUUUUAGGCCUGAUCUGGUUAUGGUAUUUACAUUAUUAAAUUCUUAUCAAUAUUUAUAUUCGCAAAGAUGGUAACAAACUUGAGGGCUGGAAGUUGUCUGUUGCACAACACUCAUAUUUUUUGCUUAAAGAUAUCACAAUUCACUCAACAACAUAGAAACUUAAUUUUACUUAUUGUAGACAAAACGCAAGUGAUUGUUGUGAAUGUACCUACAGUGAUACUAGCAGUAUAUGACGGUAAUAUAGUAUUCCUUUUUGCUAUAAAAAAUCAUAUAUUCUGUUAUAAUUAUACAUAUAUACAUAUAUAUGCAUAUAUAUUCACUUGAAAUAAGAAGCAUGAAUAAAUGAUUAUAAGCAAACAGACCGUUGCAGUUUAAUUUAAUUUAAUUUUUACCUUUCGAUCAAAUUUUCCGUACCUCGUCUCAAUCCAUGAUGGAGUUAGGUGUACCUGAGAAUUUUAACAAUACAUGAAUAGCAAAUUCCAAGAUGUUGAGAUAAAAAUUUGAUGUAAACGGGAAUCCGUUACAUGUGAGUACGAUGUACGUCGGUAUUAUUGUUGUCCUAAUAAUACGAGUAAUUAAAGUAUUCAAUUUCAUACUCACUGGUCCAAUUCUAAUUGAAAGAAUAGAAUAAAAUAUUUGAGGCUUUCUUCGAGCUGUUUUUUAACCAAUAAUCCGUGAGAAUACUUUGAGCAAACUUUGCAAGCUCUCCUUAUACCGGAAGAAGAAAGUGGGACGGAUUUAUUAAACCAUGACUAGGUACACGAUAUCAGGCUUGGGUCUAGAGGUACUCGUAUGUGUCUAACUAUACCGGCUAACUGCCUGAAUCUACUGUAUGUUAUGGGACAUGGAUUUACACAUAGAAUAUAAUUCACGUUUCGACAAGUAUAUACAGAAAAUCUGUAGAGGUACAGCUAAAAGGUUUAGUUGCUUCCACGUAGCAUUUGCUGAUGUGAGAAUCCACCGAAUACACAUGAAAUGAUGGAAGAAUUGUAAAAGACAUCCAUUCUAAAAAUGUAUGUUUUAGAUGACACAUAACUACACUUCUGUGUAUACCCUAUGUAAGUUAUGAAUUUAUUAAACAUGACGAUAGUA
rnacentral:misc_RNA from 1 species